CAGUAGCAAAAUCCUGAUGAGGAUUCUCAAGGAUCAAGACAUUAAAAAAAACUAUGAUGAGUUUCUGAUGGAAAAGGUGACUUAGUAAAAGGACUCAAUUAUCUCCCACAGUUUCUCCUUGUCUGUGGACUAAGAAAUUGAGUGAAAUGAAUUGGGGAUCUCAACAGUUUUCUGAUACUGAGUAUUGGGUGCCAGCUUCAGUCCUUUUGAUCAGCAGUUUCAUCCAAGUCUGCA
rnacentral:misc_RNA from 1 species